rnacentral:rRNA from 1 species
CAUUCACUUCGGUGAGAUGGCGACCGGCGCACGGGUGCGUAACGCGUAUGCAAUUUACCCAUUACUGGGGGAUAGCCCGGGGAAACCCGGAUUAAUACCUCAUAGUAUUAUUUGAUGGCAUCUGAAGAUAAUUAAAGAUUUAUCGGUAAUGGAUGAGCAUGCGUCUGAUUAGUUAGUUGGUGAGGUAACGGCUCACCAAGACGAUGAUCAGUAGGGGGUCUGAGAGGAUGAUCCCCCACACUGGAACUGAGACACGGUCCAGACUCCUACGGGAGGCAGCAGUAGGGAAUAUUGGUCAAUGGGCGAGAGCCUGAACCAGCCAUGCCGCGUGCAGGAUGACGGCCUUCUGGGUUGUAAACUGCUUUUCUACAGGAAGAAAAAGCCCUUGCGAGGGAAAUUGCCGGUAUUGUAGGAAUAAGCACCGGCUAACUCCGUGCCAGCAGCCGCGGUAAUACGGAGGGUGCAAGCGUUGUCCGGAUUUAUUGGGUUUAAAGGGUGCGUAGGCGGAAGAUUAAGUCAGUGGUGAAAGCCCACAGCUCAACUGUGGAACUGCCAUUGAUACUGGUUUUCUUGAAUUCAGUUAAGGUAGGCCGGAAUUGAUGGUGUAGCGGUGAAAUGCAUAGAUACCAUCAGGGAACACCGAUUGCGAAGGCAGCUUACUGGGCUUGAAUUGACGCUGAGCACGAAAGCGUGGGGAGCGAACAGGAUUAGAUACCUGGUAGUCCCCCCC